GAUGAACGCUGGCGGCGUGCCUAAUACAUGCAAGUCGAGUGAACAGACGAGGAGCUUGCUCCUCUGACGUUAGCGGCGGACGGGUGAGUAACACGUGGAUAACCUACCUAUAAGACUGGGAUAACUUCGGGAAACCGGAGCUAAUACCGGAUAAUAUAUUGAACCGCAUGGUUCAAUAGUGAAAGACGGUUUUGCUGUCACUUAUAGAUGGAUCCGCGCCGCAUUAGCUAGUUGGUAAGGUAACGGCUUACCAAGGCGACGAUGCGUAGCCGACCUGAGAGGGUGAUCGGCCACACUGGAACUGAGACACGGUCCAGACUCCUACGGGGGCAGCAGUAGGGAAUCUUCCGCAAUGGGCGAAAGCCUGACGGAGCAACGCCGCGUGAGUGAUGAAGGUCUUCGGAUCGUAAAACUCUGUUAUUAGGGAAGAACAAAUGUGUAAGUAACUAUGCACGUCUUGACGGUACCUAAUCAGAAAGCCACGGCUAACUACGUG
rnacentral:rRNA from 1 species